AAAAAUGAAAUGAGAUGUCACAUCGUGAAUCCGAUUGGUUUGAACAGACACACAAGUGGAGAAAUGACAAGUAAAUCAGUAAAUGCAGUGACGCUUUCAAGAUAUUGUGCAGGUUCCAGGAAAAUGAUGUGAAUUCAGCUGCCAUUUUUCCGUGGGACCGACGUCCCCAUGUUGGAGCCAGACAUCGCAAGUAAGCUGUGAUUGGCCUCAGCCGAUCUGAAUCAACACUUCCAUGGCAACCACUCUCACCAAUCAGGACGCAGCUUGUUGGAAGUCCCCGCUCCACUUGGGAGAAUCUGUCACUCCAAGGAUUUGAACAUUUGAUGUCAGACCACAUACUUUUAGUGAGGCAUCUGACUAGUCAGUUUAUAACUGGAAUAACUUGCAAUAAAGAAAAAAUAUGGAAAUAA